rnacentral:rRNA from 1 species
AUUGAACGCUGGCGGCAGGCUUAACACAUGCAAGUCGAGCGAGUGGCGGACGGGUGAGUAAUGUCUGGGAAACUGCCUGAUGGAGGGGGAUAACUACUGGAAACGGUAGCUAAUACCGCAUACCAUCGGAUUUGCCCAGAUGGGAUUAGCUUGUAGGUGGGGUAAAGGCUCACCUAGGCGACGAUCCCUAACUGGUCUGAGAGGAUUAACAGCCACACUGUAAAUGAGACACGUCCCAGACUCCUACGUGAGGCAGCAGUUGGGAAUAUUGCACAAUGGGCGCAAGCCUGAUGCAGCCAUGCCGCGUGUAUGAAGAAGGCCUUCGGGUUGUAAAGUACGUACAGCGGGGAGGCGUUACCCUCAGAAGAAGCACCGGCUAACUCCGUGCCAGCAGCCGCGGUAAUAC